rnacentral:rRNA from 1 species
UGCAUAUCAAUAAGGGAGGAAAAGAACCCACCAGGGAUUGCCUCAGUAACGGCGAGUGAAGCGGCAACAGCUCAAAUUUGAAAUCUGCCUUCAGGCCGAGUUGUAAUUUGUAGAAGAUGCUUCGGGUGUGGCACUGGUCUAAGUUCCUUGGAACAGGACGUCAUAGAGGGUGAGAAUCCCGUACGUGACUGGCUGCCUUCGCCCAUGUGAAGCUCUUUCGACGAGUCGAGUUGUUUGGGAAUGCAGCUCAAAAUGGGUGGUAUAUUUCAUCUAAAGCUAAAUAUUGGCCAGAGACCGAUAGCGCACAAGUAGAGUGAUCGAAAGAUGAAAAGCACUUUGGAAAGAGAGUUAAACAGUACGUGAAAUUGUUGAAAGGGAAGCGCUUGCAACCAGACUUGCGCGCCGUCGAUCAUCCGAGGUUUUCCCCGGUGCACUCGGCGGUGCUCAGGCCAGCAUCGGUUUCGGUGGUUGGAUAAAGGCCUUGGGAAUGUGGCUCCUCCGGGAGUGUUAUAGCCCUCGGUGCAAUGCAGCCUACCGGGACCGAGGACCGCGCUUCGGCUAGGAUGCUGGCGUAAUGGUUGUAAGCGACCCGUCUUGAAACACGGACCA